UCAUCUCGUUCAGCAUUCUCUCGGUCCUCGCGAGGACUUUCUCGUCUCAGAGAGUUUUCUCUCCCUGUCGUGUCCCCUCGUCUCACGUGUCACGGGUGUCUGGGGGUAUUCGGUCCGGAACUGCUCUGCCCUACCGCCCAGCCCCGUUGCAGGUGUUCAAGGACAAGUCCCAGGCACUUGUAAUUGGAGACUCGUAAUACGGGCUGUAGUUGGAGUCGAGGUAGUAUUCUUAUGUUGGCAGAAGGUGUCUGGAGCUGUGAAGUUACCCUGCAGCACUUUGACUUUUUUCCUAACUUUCUUUCAGAUGCGGAUGGAUCGACCUCCCGGCAGAGCGCCCCGUCCCAGAUGAGGGGAUCCCCCUGAGAAGGAAGUAAAGCCGGAUAGCAGCAGUGAAGGCGAAGCAUUGUGAAGGUGGUCUACUUGCAAGAUAUCCCAGCCCAGGAUGCCAGAGGACAGUCCCUGGUUGGCUGACAAGCUUUCGUAGUCCAAGAUGGAAUAAAGGAACCGCAUCAGGAAUUCCACCUUGCGGAUGGUGCCAGUCAUAUUUUCUGUUUUGUCCGAGGUUCCGUGCAGAGAGGCAGAGCCGAA